rnacentral:rRNA from 1 species
CUGCGAAUGGCUCAUUAUAUCAGUUAUAGUUUAUUUGAUGAAGCAACUAAUUGGAUAACCGUAGUAAUUCUAGAGCUAAUACAUGUAUAAAGUCUUGUAGACUGCAUUUAUUAGAAUGAAAACCAUAGGUUUCGGCCUAUUCGUGAGUAAUAAUAACUAAUCUUAUCGUAUGCUUACGUAACGAUGUGUCUUUCAAGUUUCUGCCCUAUCAGCUUUCGAUGGUAGUGUAUUGGACUACCAUG